AGAAGCAGCUCAGGAGAUAACGCUGAUGGAUUACUGGAAUGAGAAACUUUUCCUAAAGACAGCUUUGCUGUUGAUCCUGUUUGUCACACUUGAAUGAAAAGGAAGUGGGAAAACAUUAUCCUUCAUCACUGCUGCUACAGCCAUUCUUUUUGCGAUUCAAACUGCAUGUCAGAUGGAAGACUGUAGGAAGAAUGAGGUGCCAAAAUGUUGGGGAACUGCAACUAUCCCCCAUUCCUUCAGCACUCUGCCACUCGACGGUUUGGUGACAGUGACUACAAUAACUGCCUUCUUGCACUUUCUUCUGACUCGUGAUUUCUUUUGCAUAACCACAAUAAGGAACACCCACACAGAGCCAUCAGUGAAUUCAGCGAUGGCACUGGCAAACAAUUUAUUUAUUUCUUAUGAAAUUUUACAUUUUUU